AAAAAAAUUUAUGUUUUUAAUAAUUUAUUAUGAAUUUAUUUUACAUAUAAAUUUUAGUGUUAAUUUUUAAUUAUUUAAAUAAUAUUUUAAUUUAGUAGUAGUAAUUAAUUUUAAAAAUUUAAGAAAUUAAGAUUUAGUAAUAUAAAAAUUAAUAACUAAUUUUGUGCCAGCAGUUGCGGUUAUACAAAAAUUAAAUUAAAUUAUUUCAGUAUAUAAUAAAUAAAUAAAUAUUAAAGUAAAUAUUAAAUUAUUGGGUGAAAUUUUAAUUUAAUUAAAUUUUAUUUAUUUUUUAUGAUUUAAUAAAUUUUAUUUUAAACUAGGAUUAGAUACCCUAUUAUUAAAAAUUUAAAUUAUUAUACUAAAAUAGUAAAUAUAAGAUAUUGAAACUUAAAUAAUAUGGCGGUAUUUUAGUUCAUUUAGAGGAAUCUGUCUAAUAAUUGAUAAUCCACGAGUAAAUUUACUUAAUUUAAAAUUUUAUAUAUCGUUGUUAAAAAAAUAUUUUUUAUUAAAAAUAAUAUUUAAAAAUUAAAAUAAAAAAUUAAUUCAGAUCAAGAUGUAGAGUAUAAUUAAGAAUAUGAUGGAUUACAAUAAAAAUAUUUAAAUGAAUAAUUAUUUGUAAAUUUAAUUUGAAGGUGGAUUUAAAUGUAAUUUUAUUUAAUUUAAUAAAAUGAUUAAAAAUUAAAAUAUGUACAUAUUGCCCGUCACUUUCAUUUUAAAAUUGAAAUAAGUCGUAACAAAGUAGAGGUACUGGAAAGUGUUUCUAGAAUGAA
rnacentral:ncRNA from 1 species